rnacentral:rRNA from 1 species
AGCGAACGCUGGCGGCAGGCCUAACACAUGCCAGUCGAACGAACCUUUCGGGGUUAGUGGCGGACGGGUGAGUAACACGUGGGAACGUGCCUUUAGGUUCGGAAUAACUCAGGGAAACUUGUGCUAAUACCGAAUGUGCCCUUCGGGGGAAAGAUUUAUCGCCUUUAGAGCGGCCCGCGUCUGAUUAGCUAGUUGGUUGAGGUAAUGGCUCACCAAGGCGACGAUCAGUAGCUGGUCUGAGAGGAUGAUCAGCCACAUUGGGACUGAGACACGGCCCACACUCCUACGGGAGGCAGCAGUGGGGAAUCUUGCGCAAUGGGCGAAAGCCUGACGCAGCCAUGCCGCGUGAAUGAUGAAGGUCUUAGGAUUGUAAAAUUCUUUCACCGGGGACGAUAAUGACGGUACCCGGAGAAGAAGCCCCGGCUAACUUCGUG